rnacentral:misc_RNA from 1 species
GACGGAGGGCGCAAGCGUUGUUCGGAAUCACUGGGCGUAAAGCGCGCGCAGGCGGGUGGGGAAGUCGGGGGUGAAAGGUCAGGGCUCAACCCUGGGCCGUUGUCUCGAUACUCCGUGCCUUGGGACCGGUAGAGGCCAGUGGAAUUCCCGGAGUAGCGGUGGAAUGCGUAGAUAUCGGGAAGAACACAAGAGGCGAAGGAGACUGGCUGGGCCGGAUCCGACGCUGAGGCGCGAAAGCGUGGGGAGCAAACAGG